CUUCGCUGCAUGGCAAUUUAACAAACGACUGCACAUCUUACUCAGUAUUAAAUGAAGCUACCACGCACUGUCCAAAUGUUGGCGAAUCUCUUCAAAUUUUGGGAUCAGGUGGUUAUUGUGAAUAUGAAUUAAGAGGAAGCCUAGGUACCCAGCAAUAGUGAUGACUUAAGAGGAGGAUCUAUGAAUUUUACUUGAUUGCGGUGUGUGUGGACUACAACAAGGCAUCCUUAGAGGAAACGUGGAAUCAGUGGCAGCAAUUUCUGGAUAUCAGUAUUGAACUGUAUGUGUGCAGGCUGCAGACAUUGCUAUCAGUUACUAAGCAUUAUCAACAGAGAACAUUAAUAGUUUCACCAUUAAUUUCUACCACAUAAUCUGAGCCAUAAUUUCAAUUGCGUUACGCACUAUCAGAGUUACAAGUUUUACAAGACCCUGUGUGGGCUGAUUUCAUCUAUAUUAUACCUUAUCCUGCUUAGAUAGAAGAGAACUGAAAGACAUUUUUUUGUGUUACUGUUGAAUUCAGUAAGCAAGUGCUGCAUUGCAUUUCAGAAUUAGUGCAUCAGUGACUUGUAAUUAAACUUCAAUAAC